rnacentral:hammerhead_ribozyme from 1 species
AUCGAACUGACGAGUCCCGAAUAGGACGAGACGCGCGUCCUGGAU